UGCAAAAUCCAGAUGCUGGUGUGGGU
rnacentral:piRNA from 1 species